rnacentral:rRNA from 1 species
UACAUGGGGUGCAAACGUUGCUCGGAAUUAUUGGGCGUAAAGCGCGCGUAGGCGGUUACUCAAGUCAGAUGUGAAAGCCCUCGGCUUAACUGAGGAAGUGCACCCGAAACUGAGUAGCUAGAGUACUAAAGAGGGUCGCGGAAUUCCCGGUGUAGAGGUGAAAUUCGUAGAUAUUCGCAAGAACACCAGUGGCGAAGGCGGCUCACUGGCCCGGUACUGACGCUGAGGUGCGAAAGCGUGGGGAGCAAACAGG